AACGAACGCUGGCGGCAUGCCUAACACAUGCAAGUCGAACGAAGCCUUCGGGCUUAGUGGCGCACGGGUGCGUAACGCGUGGGAAUCUGCCCUUGGGUUCGGAAUAACAGUUAGAAAUGACUGCUAAUACCGAAUGAUGUCUUCGGACCAAAGAUUUAUCGCCCAAGGAUGAGCCCGCGUCGGAUUAGCUAGUUGGUGAGGUAAAGGCUCACCAAGGCGACGAUCCGUAGCUGGUCUGAGAGGAUGAUCAGCCACACUGGGACUGAGACACGGCCCAGACUCCUACGGGAGGCAGCAGUGGGGAAUAUUGGACAAUGGGCGAAAGCCUGAUCCAGCAAUGCCGCGUGAGUGAUGAAGGCCUUAGGGUUGUAAAGCUCUUUUACCCGGGAUGAUAAUGACAGUACCGGGAGAAUAAGCCCCGGCUAACUCCGUGCCAGCAGCCGGUAAU
rnacentral:rRNA from 1 species